GGCCACAUAAAAUCAAGUCGCGGGCCGGACCUUGAGUUUGAGACCCCUGCACUAGUGGGUGGUCUUUUCCCUUCAAUUCUUUCUAAAUGGAUAUAAAUGUAACUAAUUGUGUUAAACAAGCAUAAGGAUGUUAUAUAAUCAUAUCAAAUGCAGGACAAACUGUAUGGCAGCCUGCGAUAACAGCACGUAUUGUAUCGUUGUCCAAAGAAUCUAUAUAUUGUACUUUAUUGAGCUCAGGGUGUAAUUGGCUUUUGUUGCAGUAUUGAAUUUCAUCAGUGUGUGGUUAAUGAUGAUUCUUUGAUUUGUUCAGGUGUUAAUUCACAGGCUGUCUGCUAUUUUUUUAAUUCAUGAACAAUUUCUUGAUUAUUGGGUGUUCAACAAGCUUAACACACUUUAUGUUUGUGCUGGCAGGUGUUCGAUGAGUUGGAAGAGAUUGGUAAAACCAUCCAGGAGGAUGUUUUAGAUGCUGGCAUGCCCGUCCAUGGAGCAAUGGGCGGAGACAUCAGCAAAUGUCCCUACUAUUCGGCCAAAAUGGCGGCGGCGGGCGGAUCAGAAUACGCCUGUCAGCUCGCCAUGGCCGUACUGCGACACCCGACGGGACAGGUCCUGUGCGCUGCUCUUGCUGCUGCUCUGGCGGGAUUUGCUGCCUGGUAUCUGAUGUGAUGCUGCCGUCACCGUGCUGCUGGGAGAACAACGAGAAAAAAGGGAGGACAGUAAGGGGAAUAAAAAAAUCCCUCAGGUUGUUGACCAUUUCCUAGUUUCUUACAAACAUUCUGAACGGGUCCAGGCUUAUUUAAUGUUACUUAAAGGAAUUGGAUCUGUUCCUUGGAAUUCUGAUAUAAUGACCAUAAAUAUCCAUCUCCAUCCAUCCAUCAAGCUACGACUUGUGAAAAUGUAUCCUCUAUUCUUUUAAAUGUGCUACCUCCUCUGAACUGUCCCUCCAACGAGUUUUGUCCUAUCUGUAGAUAUUCUGAAGCUCCUUUCUCCUUUUGUCAUGGAAGCACACUAAUAUUGAUUUGUCCCCAAUUUUAAAUGAAACUGCCAGAUGUAAAAAAUAUAUAUUUUAGAUACUGCCCCUUAAAUUGGCUCUAUAGUGAUUAAUGAGUUAGUAAUGAUGAAGAGAUUAUCCAAAGUUCUCAUGGCGAGCGUAGAGGAAACAUGUCACAACAUACUAUGCACAUGUUAUGAAUGAGUUUAAUGGCUCAGUGUGGUCUUGCUGGGCAGACUGCUGUGGUGGUUUUGAAUGAGAUCUUUGUGUUGGUGCAAUAAAAGAUCUCAAAUUGUACUUCCCGACAUGAAUUGAAGUUCCAAAGACAAUGUGAAACGCAGUGCAUCGCACUGUUGUUAUUCUUUCUUUUUAAUUCAUCUAAUUAUCCAAAAAUGGCCUCCAAUGUUUCUACAAGUUUACCUAAUUCUUAAAAGAAUAGCACAACUUUGACAAGCUUAUGAUUGGACACGAGUGAAUACACCUGAAAAUGGACUCUACUAAUGCAUGUUCAAAUCAUCUUGUAUUUAUAAACAAAAACUGCCUGAUGUUUGUUUGAAUGCAUCGCUUAACUGUUCAAGAUGAAGUAUUAAUCGAUGAUUCAGUUUGACCUGCCACGGAAGCUUAAAUCAUAGGAAAGGUGAAUAUGAUAAUGGUUAAGUCUGAAGGCUAAAGAUGUUAAGGUUUAUUAUGAACUACAGGAACUGCAGGUUAGGUCCUUCAGCUGCUCACCUGUUGUGUAAGCAUCCAUUUGUUAUGGAUACGCCAGUAUGCAUCAUCACUAAAACAAAGUCACAUUUUGUUUGUGCUCUAUUUUUUUGGAACACCAUUCCAAGUAAUGCUCAUUGCAACAUGGAUAAGGAGGAACAUAUUGUGCUUUGUGUACUGUAUGCAGUGUUAUUGCACUGUUCUGCAAUUGAAGUUGACUAAUUAUCCUGACACAUUAAUGACAUUUUAUUAACUUGGCAUCAUCUUCCAAGCUGUUUGUUCUUUUCGUAGUUUAAAGAUGUUUGACGCACAGUGUCAACGGAAACCUGCUUAAAACAAAAUGUCUACCAGGUUCCUGUGUGUGUGUGUGUGUUUGCACAUGAUGUACAGUAUGGUGUACAGUAUUCUUUAACUAGCAGUCAUUCAGAUUUGACCUGGCAUGUAUCCCAAGUGAUAGUGUUUUUUAUCUGAGCGUCUCAGGUUCAUGUUGUAGUCAGGUGGAAAUACAAUGCAUUUCCUUUGGACUGUUAUACUCCUGUAGUUCAUGGUCCAUGUUUUAUUUAAUUACAUUUUUGCCAGUGUCAAAAUGCUUCAGUAUCUUUGGGCGAACUUAGGGAAGGCUUACUUGAAUCUCAGAAGUGCAGUUGUUUUGGUCAUUGUUAAACCUUAGAUAUAGAAGAUGGGAUGCUUGACUAAUUCAUGUUGAUUUAGAUUUCUCUUGCAUUUCAAUAACUCUGCUCCUAAUCACUUUGUGUAUCUAAACGCUUUAUAGUGUUUGACACCCCAUGGCUGUUGAAUGAAAUACAUUCUGUUUUCCUGCUCAAGCUGAAAUAAAGGUGAUCCAUUUGGACUGGUUUAUUUAUUAAAA